rnacentral:rRNA from 1 species
GAUGAACGCUGGCGGCGUGCCUAAUACAUGCAAGUCGAACGCAUUGUGGUUGAAAUGAUAUGAAGAACUUGUUCAGAUUUGAUUUUCAACAUUGCAAUGAGUGGCGAACGGGUGAGUAACACGUGGGAAACCUACCUCUUAGCAGGGGAUAACAUUUGGAAACAAAUGCUAAUACCGUAUAAUAAUUAAAACCGCAUGGUUUUAGUUUAAAAGAUGGUCUUGCUAUCACUAAGAGAUGGUCCCGCGGUGUAUUAGUUAGUUGGUGAGGUAAUGGCUCACCAAGACAAUGAUACAUAGCCGAGUUGAGAGACUGACCGGCCACAAUGGGACUGAGACACGGCCCAUACUCCUACGGGAGGCAGCAGUAGGGAAUCUUCCACAAUGGACGAAAGUCUGAUGGAGCAACGCCGCGUGUGUGAUGAAGGGUUUCGGCUCGUAAACACUGUUGUAAGAGAAGAAUGACAUUGAGAGUAACUGUUCAAUGUGUGACGGU